AGUCUUGCGAUUAGAGCUUCAUAUUCUGCUCCGUUGUUCGUUGCGGGGAACUCGAAGCGCAGAGCGUACUCCGCGACAAUUUUCUCCGGACUGGUCAAGAUCAGGCCCGCACCUGCACCUGACAUGUUGGAAGAACCGUCCACGUAGAGGGCCCAAAAGCAAUCAGAGGGAUCUGCUUUUUCUUUGGGGGAGUUCGGCCGAGGUUUCAGGCCAUCAAUUUUGCCUUGUUCAGGUUCGGCCUCCUCUGGGAUAGUACAUUCCACUAUGAAAUCCGUCAAUAUUUGUGCCUUCACUGCCGGCCUGGGUCGAUAGUUGAUGUCGAAUUCUGUGAGCUCGAUCGCCCAUUUUGCCGUUCUCCCGGAGACAUCCGCCCGGUGUAGAAUCGCCUU
rnacentral:lncRNA from 1 species